rnacentral:rRNA from 1 species
UACAGAGGUCCCAAGCGUUGUUCGGAUUCACUGGGCGUAAAGGGUGCGUAGGUGGUGAGGUAAGUCCGGUGUGAAAGCUCCGAGCUCAACUCGGAAAUUGCAUUAGAAACUACCUUGCUAGAGGGUUGGAGGGGGGACUGGAAUUCUCGGUGUAGCAGUGAAAUGCGUAGAUAUCUGGAGGAACACCGGUGGCGAAGGCGACAUCCUGGACCGGUAUUGACGCUGAGGCGCGAAAGCCAGGGGAGCAAACGGG